UACGGGGGGAGCAAGCGUUGUUCGGAUUUACUGGGCGUAAAGGGCGCGUAGGCGGCCGCCUAAGUCAGACGUGAAAUCCCUGGGCUCAACCUGGGAAUUGCAGUCGAUACUGAUGAGCUCGAGUUCGGUAGAGGGUGACGGAAUUCCCGGUGUAGCGGUGAAAUGCGUAGAUAUCGGGAGGAACAUCGAUGGCGAAGGCAAUCACCUGGGCCUGAACUGACACUGUGACACGAAAGCGUGGGUAGCAAACAGG
rnacentral:rRNA from 1 species